rnacentral:rRNA from 1 species
AUUGAACGCUCGCGGGAUGCUUUACACAUGCAAGUCGAACGGCAGCGCGGACUUCGGUCUGGCGGCGAGUGGCGAACGGGUGAGUAAUGUAUCGGAACGUGCCCAGUAGCGGUGGAUAACUACGCGAAAGCGUAGCUAAUACCGCAUACGCCCUACGGGGGAAAGCAGGGGAUCGUAAGACCUUGCACUAUUGGAGCGGCCGAUAUCGGAUUAGCUAGUUGGUGAGGUAACGGCUCACCAAGGCGACGAUCCGUAGCUGGUUUGAGAGGACGACCAGCCACACUGGGACUGAGACACGGCCCAGACUCCUACGGGAGGCAGCAGUGGGGAAUUUUGGACAAUGGGGGCAACCCUGAUCCAGCCAUCCCGCGUGUGCGAUGAAGGCCUUCGGGUUGUAAAGCACUUUUGGCAGGAAAGAAACGUCGCGGGCUAAUACCCCGUGGAACUGACGGUACCUGCAGAAUAAGCACCGGCUAACUACGUG